GGUUAAGUGAAUAAGGGCGCACGGUGGAUGCCUUGGCACUAGGAGCCGAUGAAGGACGGGACUAACACCGAUAUGCUUUGGGGAGCUGUAAGUAAGCUAUGAUCCAGAGAUUUCCGAAUGGGGGAACCCAAUAUCUUUUAUAGGAUAUUACUUUUCAGUGAAUACAUAGCUGAUUAGAGGUAGACGCAGAGAACUGAAACAUCUUAGUACCUGCAGGAAGAGAAAGAAAAUUCGAUUCCCUGAGUAGCGGCGAGCGAAACGGGAAGAGCCCAAACCAACAAGCUUGCUUGUUGGGGUUGUAGGACUCCGAUAUGGUAGUCUGUUAGUAUAGUUGAAGGAUUUGGAAAAUUCCGCUAAAGAGGGUGAAAGCCCCGUAGACGAAAUGCUGACAACACCUAGGAGGAUCCUGAGUACGGCGGAACACGAGAAAUUCCGUCGGAAUCCGCGGGGACCAUCCCGCAAGGCUAAAUACUCCCUAGUGACCGAUAGUGAACCAGUACCGUGAGGGAAAGGUGAAAAGCACCCCGGAAGGGGAGUGAAAUAGAUCCUGAAACCGUGUGCCUACAACAAGUCAAAGCUCGUUAAUGAGUGAUGGCGUGCCUUUUGUAGAAUGAACCGGCGAGUUACGAUUGCAUGCGAGGUUAAGUCGAAGAGACGGAGCCGCAGCGAAAGCGAGUCUGAAUAGGGCGAAUGAGUAUGUAGUCGUAGACCCGAAACCAUGUGAUCUACCCAUGUCCAGGUUGAAGGUGCGGUAAAACGCACUGGAGGACCGAACCCACGUACGUUGAAAAGUGCGGGGAUGAGGUGUGGGUAGCGGAGAAAUUCCAAACGAACUUGGAGAUAGCUGGUUCUCUCCGAAAUAGCUUUAGGGCUAGCCUCGGAAUUGAGAAUGAUGGAGGUAGAGCACUGUUUGGACUAGGGGCCCAUCUCGGGUUACCGAAUUCAGAUAAACUCCGAAUGCCAUUCAUUUAUAUCCGGGAGUCAGACUGCGAGUGAUAAGAUCCGUAGUCGAAAGGGAAACAGCCCAGACCACCAGCUAAGGUCCCAAAAUAUAUGUUAAGUGGAAAAGGAUGUGGGGUUGCACAGACAACUAGGAUGUUGGCUUAGAAGCAGCCACCAUUUAAAGAGUGCGUAAUAGCUCACUAGUCGAGUGACCCUGCGCCGAAAAUGUACCGGGGCUAAACAUAUUACCGAAGCUGUGGACUACACCAUUAGGUGUAGUGGUAGGAGAGCGUUCUAAGGGCGUUGAAGGUCGAUCGUGAGGACGGCUGGAGCGCUUAGAAGUGAGAAUGCCGGUAUGAGUAGCGAAAGACAGGUGAGAAUCCUGUCCACCGUAUGACUAAGGUUUCCUGGGGAAGGCUCGUCCGCCC
rnacentral:rRNA from 1 species